rnacentral:lncRNA from 10 species
AAAAAACGUGGCAGAGGAAAAGCCCAAGUUAAAGCAACAAAUGAAUCCGAAGACGAAAUCCCACAGCUGGUACCAAUAGGAAAGAAGACUCCAGCUAAUGAAAAAGUAGAGGUAUUAUUCAAAAACAUGCCACAGGAAAGAAGUCUCCAGCAAAGAGUCCUAAUCCCAGCACACCUCGUGGGAAGAAAAGAAAGGCUUUGCCAGCAUCUGAGACCCCAAAAGCUGCAGAGUCUGAGACCCCAGGGAAAAGCCCAGAGAAGAAGCCAAAAAUCAAAGAAGAGGCAGUGAAGGAAAAAAGUCCUUCGCUGGGGAAAAAAGAUGCGAGACAGACUCCAAAAAAGCCAGAGGCCAAGUUUUUCACCACUCCUAGUAAAUCUGUGAGAAAAGCUUCCCACACCCCCAAAAAAUGGCCCAAAAAACCCAAAGUACCCCAGUCGACCUAAAGUCAGUGAUUCAACUGGAAGGAAACCUCAAUGCUGCCUCCAGAGCUUUUUGGAAAUACUCAGAUCCUGGCCGCCUUUGUAACCUUCUCUAAACGUCAGGCCUGGACUUAAAAGAUUUUUUAAAACCUCCAUAAGUAGUCCAGGGGCGGUGGCUCACGCCUGUAAUCCCAGCACUUUGGGAGGCCGAGGCAGGCGGAUCACAAGGUCAACGAGAUCGAGACCAUCCUGGCCAACAUGGUGAAACCCUGUCUGUACCAAAAAUACAAAAAUUAAUUGGGCAUGGUGGUGGACACCUGUAAUCCCAGCUACUAGGGAGGCUGAGGCAGGAGAAUUGCUUGAACCUGGGAGGCGGAGGUUGCAGUGAGCCACUGCACUCCAGCCUGAUGACAGAGCAAGACUCAGUCUCAAAAAUAAAUAAAAAUAAUAAAACC